UACAGGGGGUGCAAACGUUGCUCGGAAUCAUUGGGCGUAAAGCGCACGUAGGCGGUUCGUUAUGUCGGAUGUGAAAGCCCUUGGCUUAACCGAGGAAGUGCAUCCGAAACUGGCGAGCUAGAGUACUAAAGAGGAUCGCGGAAUUCCCGGUGUAGAGGUGAAAUUCGUAGAUAUCGGGAGGAACACCGGUGGCGAAGGCGGCUCUCUGGGACGGUACUGACGCUGAGACGCGAAAGCGUGGGGAGCGAACAGG
rnacentral:rRNA from 1 species